rnacentral:rRNA from 1 species
GAUGAACGCUGGCGGCGUGCUUAACACAUGCAAGUCGAACGGUGAAGCCAAGCUUGCUUGGUGGAUCAGUGGCGAACGGGUGAGUAACACGUGAGCAACCUGCCCUGGACUCUGGGAUAAGCGCUGGAAACGGCGUCUAAUACUGGAUAUGAGCCUCUUCCGCAUGGUGGGGGUUGGAAAGAUUUUUUGGUCUGGGAUGGGCUCGCGGCCUAUCAGCUUGUUGGUGAGGUAAUGGCUCACCAAGGCGUCGACGGGUAGCCGGCCUGAGAGGGUGACCGGCCACACUGGGACUGAGACACGGCCCAGACUCCUACGGGAGGCAGCAGUGGGGAAUAUUGCACAAUGGGCGAAAGCCUGAUGCAGCAACGCCGCGUGGGGGAUGACGGCCUUCGGGUUGUAAACCUCUUUUAGCAGGGAAGAAGCGAAAGUGACGGUACCUGCAGAAAAAGCGCCGGCUAACUACGU